rnacentral:lncRNA from 1 species
UUUGCCUCUUGUUGAUCCAUGUCCUUACUUGGGUUUCGGUUAUAUUUUUCUGAGAUUUUUGCCCACAUAUUCAGAAUUGAACUCUCGUUAUAACCAUGGCUGGUGGCUUGUCUCACAAUCCAUUGUGGCUCAUCGUGGGCGCUCUUGUGUGUGGUGGAGUGUGUCAUUGUUCUUUGGAGUGGGGCUCGGAGGGCGGCAGGUUUGUGUACCCAAGGUUCUUUCGCGCUGGCAUGUAUGAAUGGCGGGACGUGUGUGUUCUUCCUGAAUGCACUCAGAUGGUAUUCACCUUGCACUAUCUUUA